GAGGAAAUGUCUUUGAAUUCUCACAUGAAAACUGCAUGGUUUUGUUGAUAAACUGGAAAAGGAAACUAUUAAGUCAGCUAGCUCCUCAGCAAUCUAAAGGCAGAGGAACAUCCUUGACUUGGUGGCACCAGCACAAACCUCAGAGCACUUUGUCCAACUGCCCCC
rnacentral:lncRNA from 12 species